rnacentral:lncRNA from 1 species
UUAUUUUUAGGUUAUAUAUUAUAAAUUUAGUUAAAUAAAACCUAGAUAAAAAUAAACCAAAACAUUGAAAUAAAACCAAAACCCCUAAAAUUUCCCCAAAUCCUAUUUCCCGUUUCUCAUUUCCCCAAAUCCUAUUUCCUACGAUUCCAACCUCCCGACGAUUCCAACCUCUCCGGUGAGCACGAACGGUGAUUGUCAACUUCUGUCCGGUCUCUGUCCGAUCUCCGCAAGCGGUAAUCAGGUAUGCAAAAUUAGAAACUGCGGUAAACAACUGCAAAGCCAUUACAUUUCAACUUGUUGAUUAGAAACUGCAAAAUUAGAAACUUUUACAUUUGAUUAAUCGGUCUUUGCCAUUCUCUAUCAAAAAACAAUUGUAUGAAGGCAGUUAACAAAAUCACAGUUCCUCUGCACACAUUUCAACUAGAUUAGCCACUCAACUCUCAAACUGCUUCUCCUCCUUCUAUGUUCACUAUGUUUAUACUCUUCUGAUAAACAACAAGCUGCUAUCAAAUUAGAUAUGCCAUUACAACUGCAAAGCCAGGUCAGGCUGCUGCUGAACAGGAGGAGAGCUUGGUGAUUGGAAACCAAUAUUCAAGUCUGGAGGAUCUCUAAUUUUACUGUGGCUUUCUUCUGCUUGUGAGCCAAUACGUUGCCAAUGAUCAAACUGAUUACCCUGUUCGAAUGUAGACAGUGCACCAUGCCCACUUCUAACCAUUUGCCUCGGUUUCGAGACUGUUUCGGUUUGUGAACAUCGUUGCUUCUGUCUUCUAUCAAUAUCUUCAAAUCCAUCAUUUGAAUGCAAACUAUCUGGUGAAGGUUGGAGCAUCCAAGUUGGCCGAUUGUAAGUCGACCAAUUUCUAAUUUGCACUUCUGAAUUACUCUGACCUUCCAUUAACC